rnacentral:lncRNA from 1 species
CCAAAAGUGUUCUACAAAUUUUUACAGAUCUGAAGUUUGAAAUUCAAAAAUUCAAAAAAACCUAAAAUUGAAAUCUGAGUGAAACUUUCAUCCUAGAUCUUAGAUUUCCAAAAAUUCAAAAUAGCACAGAAAACUCCAAAAAGUACUGUUACAUUGAAACUUCUGAGAUUAAUUUUAAGUUCUAGUUGUUAAUUCAAGUUCCUAGCAUAGAUAAGUUGGAAAUGAAUUGAAGAGUCCUUGUGUUUUGGUUCCCACACACUUUGCCGCGAAACCACUCCCCAAACCACCAAAAAUCUCACCCCAACUCCAUGGUCCCUCCCCUCAUGGUCCCCCUUUUUCCUUCUCUCUUUCUUCCACGUGGCCUGACAAAUAACCGAUUUUGGUUCGAAUCCGUAUUUUAUUUUUCACUCUCACACGUGAAUCUCUUUCCACGGUAGAUGAUGGACGAAAGGUAGGAUAUGAUUAAUGAGAAUUAAUCAUACCUUCCAUUUGCCCAGAUUUUUACCAAAAAGAGGAGAUUUUCGGAAUUUCGGGGAGUUUUCGGAUUUUUGAAGGGUUUUUGCAAUUUCUUGGAGAAGGGGGAAAAGAAGCUUCGAAAGAGGGCUAUAUAGUUGGAUCUAGACAGAUAAUGAGGGAGGAUCGAAUUUUUUUUUGGAGAAAAAGGUUCUGGGUUUUGCUUCAAUUUUCAGAUCUCUUGUAAGGUUCUAAAAAAGAAAAAAAAAACGAAAAUACAAAAGAAAAAAGAGUUUGAGUUUGAUUUUCAUUUGAGUUUAAUUUCAUUUCGAGAAAUCAGAAACAUAUAAAAAUCUUCGUUCAUUUUUGUGUUUUGGCUUCAAAUACGGAAUUUGCUUGAGGACAGAGCGGUGUUCGUCGUUCGAGUUCCGGGUCCGUCGUUCGUUUUGCUGUGUUUUCUUGUCAAAGUUCCUUUCGAUUCGAGGAGUGUAUUUUCUGGAUUUUCCCACUGUUAUUUAGAAGAAUUUUAGUUUAGCAGGUUCAAUUCUCUUCUUUUUCCCUUCAUUUCGCUUAUGAAUCGAGCUUCUUAAAGUAUUUUGGAAUAUUUAAGUUCAAAAUCUGUUUGCUGCAUUUUUGUGAUUAAAGUUUGGUUGGUAUGUCAAUUGUGAGUCAGUGAUG